rnacentral:lncRNA from 1 species
UAUAUAUGCAUGCAUGUAUGCAUUAUUAAAAAGAGAGUCUUUAAUUACGUUUGAAUUUUGUAACCCUAAUACACCUCUACAGUCAAAGUUCUUAAUCGGGCUCUUCUGAGGUUUUGAAAUAUUAAUCAUUCAAUGUAUUCAAGCCAUAGUUGUGUUUACUUUACGUACUUAUUUGUUUGCAUGUUUAGAAUCAAUCGAUCCUGAAAGAACGACAUUCUAACAAUUGGUAUCAGAGCCAGAGACUGUGUGAUCAAUACACAUUCCUUAUGUCUUCAGAAUUCGUUAGGGUUUCCGCUUUUAUCGUAUAAAUAACAAGUCGUCUUCUUUGUAUCGACAACAACUUUGUUAUAGAUAAAACCUUAAUCUCAAGUUUACAGGUUUGAUUCUAAAAGCUCACCAUGUCUCACGAAGAUUCGCAAACAAAUCCCAUCAACAUCACAAACAGCAUUGGAUCUACAACCAGAAUACCUAUUCUCUACACUCAAGACUACGAAGUAUGGGCACAUCACUUUGAAGACUAUGUGGUUAGAUCUGAAGAAAACGGCUAUCUCAUCUGGGAAGUUAUCACUCUUGGGCCGUUUAUUCAUUCAGAAACAAACACUACUGUCAAGACCUAAAAAGAAUAUAACAAGUUGGUUGCUGAUGAAUAGAAGAUGCCACAGGAUGAAAAAGACAAGCUGUUGUGUAAUGUGAAGGCCAUGAGAAUGAUAAGAUUCGCUUUGCAAUCUAACACUUUUCGGUUGGUCGGUUCAUGCACGACGGCUAAAGAAAUUUAGGGUAGGUUGAAGGAGCUUUAUUCGACUGAUGAAGAUCUGGAACACUCCAUUCAAACCUUACUGCUAUCAGAAUUUGGAGUCUUCGAAUAGAUACCUGAAGAGAAGCUAAUAUAGACCUUUGAUCGAUUUAAUCAUCUCUUAAGUAAGAUGAUAAAGCAUGGAAUAAAGAGGAAGUUGAUUGAGCUGAAAGUAACGUUCAUGAACAGACUCAGACCUAAAUGGAUGGUUGUGGUUUCUACUGUAAAACCGCAUGAAAAAUGUAAGUCUUAUUCGCUAGCGAAACUGGUGGGAAUACUCAAGUCCCAUGAAAGUGUCGUAACCAAAGAAGCGAAAGUGGUUUCUGGUGUAGGAUCGCUGGCUCUUGUCUCAAAGGCUAAAGAUGUUGCAGAAGAAGAAGAAGAGUCAGAUUUGUCUGAGUGUGACCUUACAAGUGAAGAGUAUGCUUUGAUGGUCACCAAUCCAAAGAAGUUUGCCAGAAGAAAAAUUCCGGUCAGCAAGAACUGAAACUGGCAGGGAAGUUACAACUCUGAAAAGCUGAAGGAUGAAGCGAAAAUCUCGUCUCAAAAGGAUGAAGACAAGAGGGAGAGCAAACUUGCAGGAGACUCUAGAUACGAAUGCAAUUACUUUCAUGGCAAGAACCACUUUGCUAAGGAUUGCAUGCUAAAAAAGAUGGCUAAGAAAAGAGAUGGUGAAGAGGAUGAGGCAUACUACUUGCGCAAGCUGGAAGAAAUCAAGAAUAAGAAAACAGCUAACGGUGCAAAAGGUACUAUGAAUGCUUUGAUUGUGCAGGAAGAUGCUGAUGAAGAUGAGUUCGGUGGCGUGGAAGUUUGGUCAACCGACUCUGAAGACGAAGAGGUUAGAAAGCCUUCUCAUGGAAAGGCUUAUGUAGCGAAAGAAAGUGGUUCGGCUGGGAAGUGCUUAAUGGUCACUAGUGGAUCAUCAUCCGAAAGAGCAAAUGAGGAACUAAACCUGACUAAAAACAAAUGUUUUGCAGCAAAGACAGUUAGUGAGAAGAUCAAUGACUGCGAUCAUUUGAUCAAAAAGGUACAAUCCAUCCUUGAAUCACUUAAAGUUCCAAUAACCAAUUAUGAAAAGGAAUUAAAUGAAUUAAAAUUUAAAUUCACCAACUUAAGUGGUAGUCUCAUGCAAACUCGCUUAGCGAAUUCUAACCUAACUGACCAACUCUGCAAGGUGUCUUCGAAGAGUGAGGAGAGAAGGAUAUGGAUUGAGCUGAAGGAGGCAGAGUUAAUUAGAGCUAGGGAUGAAAGUUUUUGUUUGCAAAAAGACAAUUUAAAGUUUUUAAAACAAAGGAAUGUUUUUUGUUUAAUUGCUAAGCGUUUAUAUACUAAUAUAGCUCAGUUACAUUUAAGUUGUGAAGUAGGAAAGAAAAUUCAUAAGAUGAUUUUACCAUUCCUUGAAUUUAAGGAAGACGAAGUAAUAGCAGAAUGUGAAUCAAUAGUUUCAUCAGAAGAGACGUCCAUGUCAUACAAAAUUAGACUGGAUAAAAUAGGAACCUUCAUUGAUUCAAAAGAACACAAAUGCAUGUUAAAAGACAUUUUAGAUGAAAAUGAUAGAUUGAAAAUUAAGUCAGACACUAUUCGCUCAUUUGACCAAUCCAAUGCCAAACUAGCUUCUGAAAAUAAAUUAGACUUAGAACAUACUUCUGAAUUUGAUGAAGAAAGUGAGAUGAGCGACAUAUCUAUAGAAGACGUAGUUGAUUGCUCUGAGUUUCUGAAGAGCGAAACUGAGAAUAAGCAACCACUGAUCUCAGAAAACUUAGUGGAAUUUGCUCGUCUAGCAAAGGAUAAGAAAAAGAAGCUCAAAGAAAAGGUUGUAGUUUAUCAAAAGGUUCAGACUGUGCCGAACCAGGUAUAUGCGACAACAGGAGUCACUUCUAGACAAACAACAAAGUUAAAAGUCUUGGUAGAAAAAUACAAUGCAGAAGGGUGCGAAGAUUUCUUUUGGUCUGCUCCAAUUGAUAAUGCAGACGAAACGGUAGGCCUAUCUGAGCAGACUUCUUGGAGAGUUAGAGGAAGGUACGUAGCUGAACCUAUAAAGAAACCCUCAAGUUUUGACAAACCGAGUACAAGUGGAACCAAAAAAAUCCCUAUGGAACCAAGAGAAGAACCGAAAGUUCAAGUCAAUACAACCGAAACUCCAAAAGAGAAAUCAGAGGCCAGUUAUAAUAUCCACAAAUCACAGAAGGAGCUAGCUGAACAGAAACGCUUAAAAAAUCAAAGAUAUGCAAAGAAUUUGAAUGAGCGAAAGAUUUACUGGCAUUCCCAAAAUCCCAACUAUAUUCCUCCUAAGAAGAUCUCAACGGACAAGGGAAAGGAAAAGGCAAAGGAAAAUUUUAGCCCAAGUUCGUAUUAUUCAAAGACUCAAAACUGAAAGUCCAUUUUCGGUCCACAAACCAGAUUCGGUCCGAAUGUCACUCAAAACCGAAAGUCCACUUUCGGUCAACAAACCAGAUUCGGUCCGAAUGUCACUCAAAACUGAGAGUCCACUUUCGGUCAACAAACCAAAUUCGGUCCGAACGACACUCAAAACCGAAAGUCCACUUUUGGUCCGCAGACCAGUUUUGGUUCUAAGCCAAGUUUCGGUUACACCAAGUCCCAAAGCAAGGCAUAUUUCAGGGAACACAUCAAAGGAAAAGGAUAGCUAACGUCUGAUUCUAAGAUCAAUAAUAAGAAGUCAUCAGCUGAUCCUAGAUGUCAAAUGCCAUCAAACAAACUAACCAACAAAUCAAAAUUUAAACAAGAUAAAACCAAAAUCAAAGUUUAUACAAUUAGAAGAAAAGAUCAAACCACCUUAGUAAAACGAACAUACUUGGUUGAUAUUUCUACUGGAAUUCCUUUAUCUGUGAAAAACUCACAAGGACCCAAGCGACUUUGGGUUUUUAAAUCUGCUUAAAUUUGUAGGUAAUCAAUGACGAGAAAUUCGACAAAGAAUGGUAUAUAGACAAUGGCUGCUCGCGUCACAUGACAGGUAGGAAGGAAGAACUGAGGGAGUUUCGAUCUCUGAAAGAUGGUGGCAGUGUGAAAUAAAAAAAUAACUCAUAUGGAAUAAUCAAGGGAUAUGGCAUGAUAACAAAUGGUGACUUCACGAUUAGGAAAGUGGCUUAUGUAGAAGGUUUGCAGCACAACCUCACUAGUGUGUCAUAGUUAGUUGUGGUCAUAGGUCUGAAAGUAUCGUUUGAUGAUGAGGGCUCUGAGAUAAUAGAGAAACAAUCCAAGAAGGUUCUGUUGAAAUCUGAACGUAAGGGAGAGAUGUAUCCUUUAAAUCUCAAUCCCAUACGAGGAAAACUAGAAAUAUGCUUGCUGACAAAGGCAAAUACAGAUGAUAGCUGGUUGUGGCAUAGACGACUAUCGCACCUGAACUUUAAACACAUUAAUAAGUUAGUACUUAGUGAUCAUGUUCGUGGACUUCCUCUUCUCAAGUUCGACAAGGAUCAUUUGUGUGCAGCAUGUGAAAUGGGCAAACAAAGCAGAAAGAGCCACCCUACUCGAAUCAACACGAAGAUAAUUGAAGCUCUUGAACUCUUGCACAUCGACUUAUGUGGACCUUCAGCUAUUGAGAGCUUUGGUGGAAGUAAGUAUAUUCUUGUAAUUGUAGAUAACUUUUCACACUUCACCUGGGUUUUCUUUCUUAAACAGAAAUCAGAUGCAACUCCUAAUCUGAAAACAUUCAUCAAGCAAGUGGAAGUAUAGCUGAUGAAAAUGGUGCGAAAUAUCAGAAGUGACAAUGGUCUGGAAUUCAAGAAUAAUGAUUUUGAGGGCUUUCUGGCUGACAAGGGAAUAACUUAUAAUUUUUCGGCCCCUUACACCACAAUAGAAUGGAAUCGUUGAAAGACGAAACCGUUCUUUGUGUGAAGCUUCCAGAACCAUGCUCAGUUUCGUUUCACGUCCAUUAUAUUUUUGGGCUGAUGCUGUUGCAACUGCAUGCUGUACUCAGAAUCGGUCCAUGCUGAAUAAAAGGUUUUUAGUCACUCCAUAUGAGAUCUUGAACAACCGAAAGCCAAAUUUCAAAUUUUUCCACAUAUUCGAUUCAAGGUGUUUUAUCUUUAACUCCAAAAAGAACCGAAAUAAGUUUGACGUCAAAGCCGAUGAAGGAAUUUUUCUAGGUUACUCACUCACGUCGAAGGCAUAUAGAGUGUUGAAUAAACGCUCAAAAAGAAUUGAAGAAACCUAUUAUGUCACCUUCGAUGAUUGUUACAUGAAGAAAGUUCAAAGAAGAGAGUGACCUGGGAGACAUUUUUCCAGAAUCAGGACAAGUCACUGUUCUCAUUGCUAACCUGUUUGAAGAGUACAUGCACCUGUUUGAUGAACCAGAAACGACAGCAACCUCAGAAGCAAAAUCCAUAGACAACAAAAUUGAAAGUCUCAAGAAGAUUAUCGAUGACGCUGCUAAAGAGAUGGAAGAUCAACUCCAGUUGUUAAGAGUAAUCCACCAUGUCAAGGGGAAAACUCAACAGCAUCAGAAACAAACAAAGCAUCUUUGGAGGGGGAGGAUCCACUUUCGGCUGAGUCUUAUAAAGGCUCAGAGGAUGCUUCUGCUCAAAAUCCACCGAUUGGUAGUACAACCGAGGGGGAGAGUUCCACUUCUACACCAAAUGCGACUAUCAGUGAAGACACAGAUUAUACUUCGCCAGUUGAGGGGAGAAAGAGACCGAAAGUACAACUGAUGAAGGUGAAGGUGAUCUAUCUGAAGCUGAAGUUGAAGUGAAUGCUGAAUUGGAUCCAGCAUAUGAUCCAAAUUAUCCUCCAUUAGUGAAAUGGACCAAAGACCAUCCCAAAGCACAGAUUAUUGGUGAAACUUCCGAAAAAGUCCCUACUCGGUCUCAGUUAAAAGCGAAACAAACUGCAUUGUUCUCAAAAGUCGAAUUUUGCAUGUUUAAUUCGUUUGUUUCCAAGAUUGAACCGAAAACUGUAAAUGUUGCACUUGAUCAUACUGAUUGGGUCCAAGCAAUGCAAGAUGAGCUCCAUGAGUUUGAGUAGAACCGAUUUUGGAGGUUGAUACCUACACCAAAGGAUGCGUCUGUAGUUGGCUUGAAGUGGGUCUUCAGAAAUAAGUUGGAUAAAGAAGAUAAUGUAAUUUGCAACAAGGCACAAUUGGUGGUGAAAGGAUAUUGUCAAGAAGAAGGGAUAGAUUAUGAGGAAACCUUUGCUCCGGUAGCUAGGUUGGAAUCAGUAAGAAUCUUCUUGGCAUAUGUUGCUCAUAAAAACAUCGAAGUUUUCCAAAUGGAUGUCAAAUGCGCCUUCUUGAAUGGAGAAUUAGAAGAAACAGUUUAUGUUGAGCAAUCGCCUGGGUUCUUGAACGAGAAAUUCCCUGAUCAUUGUUAUGUGCUAGAUAAAGCAGUCUAUGGAUUAAAGCAAGCACCGAGAGCCUGGUAUGAAACCUUAACUCGUUUUCUAAAAAUGUCAAAAUUUAAGCAAGGUUCGGUUGACCCUACCUUCUUUCGAAAGAAAGAAGGCGAACAUCUAAUGAUUGUUCAAAUUUAUGUUGAUGAUAUCAUCUUCGGCUCUACAAAUCCUAGCUUUACAGUUGAAUUCAGAAAGUUGAUGGAGACUAAAUUUGAAAUGAGCGCAAUGGGUCCAAUUAACUUUUUCCUUUGUUUAAACAUUAGACAGGGAACAGAUGGUAUAUUCAUCAAUCAGGAGGCUUAUACAAAGACCUUACUGACAAAGUUCGGUAUGACGGGGGACUAAAAAGUGAAGAUUCCAAUGGCAUUUGGCACUAAAUUAACACUAUCUAUGGAAAAACUUCUUGUUGACAUAAGACAAUUCGUCUAAUGAUAGGGUCACUUAUGUAUUUAAUGGCUACUCGAUCGGACAUUAUGUUUUCUGUGUCUUAUUGUGCUAGGUUUCAAGAAAAUCCAAGAGAACCUCACAUGGUUGCUGUGAAGAACAUAUUCCGUUAUUUAAAGCGAACCUCAUCUCUCGGUCUCUGGUAUCCAGCAAGAACUGGUUUCUUCAUUCAAUCUUAUUCUGAUGCUGAUCUAGGAGGAUGUGGGCUAGACAGAAAGAGCGCUACAGGUUGAUGCCAAUUCCUUGAUGGAAAACUUGUUAGUUGGCAGUCCAAGAAGCAAACAUGCGUGUCAUUGUCUACAGCCAAAGCAGAGUAUAUUGUUGCAGCCUCUUGAACUUCUCAAGUAAUCUGGAUUCAAAAUCAACUGAGAGAUUACGAGCUAAGCAUGAAGAAGAUACCACUCUAUUGCGAUUCAGAAAGUGCAAUAAGGAUUUGUCACAAUCUGGUACAACACUCGAAGACUAAGCACAUUGCACUUAGAUAUCACCUCAUUAAGGAUCAUGUAGAAGAUGGGAACGUAGAAGUACAUUUUGUUCGAUCUAGUGAUCAAUUGGCCGAUAUAUUCCCUAAGGCAUUACCUGAAGCACUCUUUAACAAAAUCUUACAAGGCUUGGGUAUGAUGGAAGCAGAGUCGGUACCGAAUCCUCAUUCCUUUAACGAAAAAAAAUAAAAAAAAAUCAGUCAAGCGAAAUGGAGCGAUCGCUCGGUCUAUUUUGGCUCCUCAAAUUUUGAGAACCGAAAUGCAUCGACCACUCGGUCUAUUUCGGCUCCUUAAAAUUCGUGAACCGAAAUGAACUGACCGCUCGGUCUAUUUCGCUUCACUCAACUGAGAUAAGGUUUCGGUUUAUUCUUUUUCUUUAUAAUUGUUCAAAUAUUUUUUUUUCAGCAAAUCUCAAAAAUCCAAAAAAAUAUUUUUCUUUUUCUGUUUUUAUUAUUUUUCAGAAUAAUCCAUCACUCGAAAGUAUUUUUCAUUUUGUUUGUGUGGUAUAUUUCUUCGUUUUGCCUCUAUUCAGUCUCAAAGGUACAAGUAUCACAGAAGUUGGAGUCGGGACAGGUAUGAUGUUUAUUUUAUGAACUAGUUAAGGGUCCCUAGAAGCACGCUGCUGCAUGUUGACCUAAGCCUCUACGACCUAGAGCACGGCCUUAAUGAUUCGAUCAAUACCUAUCGUUUCUUCCCAAUCAGGCUAUUUUUCUUUACUUGGUCUAGAGCUACCUUACUCUUCUCACAUGAGUUAAGAGUUUCUCUGCUUUGUCCUGUUUUAUAGCAGAAGGUACUUCCAUUUCUUUCACCUUCCCCAAACCAUUCUCCAUCCAAUUUUGGUUCAUAAUUGUCACCCUUGAGACUCUCAGUUAUUACCACUGAGGUUUAUGGUUGCACAAAAUCUGUGUUUAUGAUCUUAGAUACGUAUACCACAUGCUGAGUGAAACCCAAAAUUCAACACCCAUAAUGAAUUAACGGUGAAUUUCAAUAUUAGAGAUUUUACUUGUUACCUUAUGAAAUCUCUUUUUGUUGCGAGAUCUUUUAUGAAUGCAUCUAAAACCAAGACUAUUCUUCCCAAAAAGAUCCAAUUUUAUUUCUUUUUUGAGAUUUCUAUACAUACUUUUGUUAUCACACAAUAUAACCUGCUUACUUGUUUAACAGACCACAUCGGUCUCACAAGUACUUCUUCUAACAUUCGGUCUUAUUUUGAGAAUCAAUGUUUGGUUGAAGAUAAGCCACCCUGCGUUUAUGUCAUGAAAAGAAGCCUUUCAAUGUUUAUUUACAAACACUUGAUCGUAUUCUCGGGAAUCCACACAAGCACUUCAAGUCAUUCUUAACUUCGAAGGAAGCGAUUCUUGCCCGGAAUCCCCUGCUUUUAUCACUCACAUCCAUACACAUUUGCUUUAUUACUUUAUCUUUUGUCACUCUAAUGCACGAAAAUUUUUAAUUUUCCCCAUUCUGUUGAUGGUAUGUUUAAGCUUAUUUGUCAUCUAAUGAGUCAAGGGAAAUUCAGGUUUGGAUGGUGCAUUCUGUUUCAAAUGAAGAUUGAGGAAAUCUUUUUGGGCGUGUGAAUUUGAACGGUCAUCAUACGCACGCGUGCUGUUGCAUACCUAGGAACAUCCACCCUGUCAAAUCCUGCUUUUCCAGACUACAAUUUAGCUAUACCGUCACAAUCGUCACUAUUUUCUCUCUCCUGGAAACGAUAUAUAAAAGGUGUGCACGCUUCCUUGUCGUCUACCAUUAUCAAGACUUCCACACUGUAACGACGAUUUUCACUGUUCAUCUUCUUCCCUUAUUUAACAAUGGCGACUUCUUCAUCUGCACAAGAUCAAAUAACUUCAUCUACUUUUCUCACCAUCAAACCAAAUCAGAAUAUGAUUAUAGAACUUAAUAUGUUUCUAUAUGAUUCUUAUAUGCUACAAGUUGUUGAAUGCUUAAAGUACUCUCCCUUGGUGAUUGCUCUAACUCAGUUCGAGGCUGUUUCGAUGUCCUUAUUAUCUCAAGUUUAUUCUUCUGCAUCGUAUGGCAAGAAUAAGGAAUGCAUAUAUUUUCAAAUACACUCCAAGAUAGCUUCGAUUUCUAAAGGGAGGUUUUGUUCCUUACUACAUCUGGUAGUGGAUUGUUCGGUGAUUUCUCCAGACUUUAUCACAACAACCCAGAUCUUCUAAAUGUUGUGUGAGAUGGGAUAUACAGACGUGUUGACAACCAUUGCCAAAGUAAAGAAGACGUGUUUGCCUUCUCAGUGGAACAGUCUUCUCACUUUACUCAUUAAAGGCUUGGUGGAAAGAAGUGUUGGAUUUGAUGGCACGAGUAAACGUUUUUUUGACCAUUCUUUAUGGUCUGUAUAAUGGUAUCAACCUAGACUAUGGCUCUAUCAUAUGGUCUCAGGUUGUGCAGAGCCUAAACACUUCCACUCGUCAAUCAGAAAUUUCAUGUGGAAGGUUUUGGACUCUCAUUACCCAACGGGCAAUUGAUACUCUGGACAUUCCAUUGAUGAAGGAUACUCUCAUUGCUUUUAUUGCUACUUUCCAUACCAAGAAGAUCAUCAUUUCGGAUCCCACAAAGUUUCCUCAUUAUGGUUCAAUACCGGAAACUAUGUACAGGGGUGUGAUAGCCGAAAGCAAAGUGAUGGCUGAUUACAGACAACUUACACCCAUGGAGCCAAGAGUUCUUACUCCUGAAUAGAAGGUUGCCUUAAAAGUUGUUGACAAGCCCAGCAACAGAGGGAAACGAGUGACUUCCACGAAGGAAACAACGGAAGACGAACAACCUAAUCCUUCCAAAUCCAAGAAGCGAAAGUCAGCAUCGGAGUCCUCUUUAAAGCCAAAGAAGAUAAAGAAAAUGGCGAAGAGAUCCAAACAACAAAUUCCUCCAAGUCCUGAUCAUUCUGAACAAGAUGAAGAGGAUGAUGUUCCUCCAAAGUCUCCACGAGGUAAUACUCCUCCUUGUUCCCCUCCACAAACCGAAUCUCCAUCUCAUAAACUUCCAACCCCACCUCCAUCACCGAAAAAUACAUCACCAAACCUGACACCGAAAGUCUUAGUUUCGGUUGUUCUCACUACACCAAUAGAAGCUUCACUACCACCUCCACCAAUUUCUUCUAUUUCCACUUCUCUACCAACUCUGUCAACUCCAAUCAUCACCCAAACCAUUACAACUACACUUCCGGAACAAUCAGCAAGGGUCAACGUAUCUGAUACGGGGGCACCUACUGACACCGAAACUCCUGUCAUUACUAAACCCGUCUCUCCAACCCACUCAACAGAGUCUGGUGCUAUACUCGGAGGUGACAAUGAUGAGUAUGACUCUAUAUACUUUAGUCCCUGUCGGCUCCAAUCUGAUGAAAACACGGAUGCUCCUGUCAACCAACAACAUUUUCAGAGCAUUCAUGAGAAGUUGGACCAGUUACUUGCGGAUAAUAAAGCUUAUGGAGGGGUCGUUCUGAAAGCUUUUGUGGAGACAGCGAUCGAACAAUAUACAACAGCUAUGGAUAAAUCAACAGAUGCCAUCAAAGAAUCAACUUCAACUUGCAAGAAAGCAUCUGCUGAUGUUGCUGAAGUUCUUCGCACCACACAGAUAUUCUUAGAUUCCUUGAAAGGGCAUGCUAAUACGAAUGCUGCCAAAAUUCGUGAAUCGGUUGAAUCUCUUUCCCAGUCACUAAAGGAAGAAUAGCAGAAGUUUAAUGAUGUUUGUUCCUCUAUCAAAGCUGACAAUGCUUCUAUGAUCAGUUCAGUCUCUUCUCGUCUGGACUCCCUGCAUGCCGACAUUGCUAAAGAGAGUGCCUUGAAGGAAGAAAUAGCCCGUCAAGCCUCUAUAAUCGCACUAAAGCAAGUCCAACUUGCUCAUUCAGAGAAGGAAAUUUCAUUAUUGAAAACCAAGAGAGUCGUCUUUCGCAGUUAUGCACGUGACUUCAAGGACAUGUUGAGCAAUCUUCUUGGCGCUCAUGAUCUGAUUCUUACCCUCACCAUUCGCAAUCACUUGACAAGCAAACUACUCUCUGCUCUUGCCACGCUUCACAAAAUGAAAGGUGUUUCGGAGCCUUUUGUGACUCCAAAAACAAGGGGGAGAGGGAUCGCAGAAGGGUAUUGUCUCAAAAGAACUGAAGGUUAAUGUAGCUUCAGGUUCUGGUCCAACUAAAAAACUGACUCAAGUUGUUAAAGACAGUGAUAAUGAAGAAGAAGAAACUAUUGUUGAAGCACUAAAAAGAAAGAAGAGAUAUAAAGAAUUAGAUGAAAAUCUAAGAGUUACAAAGUAGGCUGAGGAGACAAAGAGACACAAUAAAGAACAAGAAGAUAUCUUGCAAUGUAUGAAGGCUCUGUUUCCUGAGUGGACGAGGGAUGUGUUGAUCAGUCAAGCAAUUGAGUCACCAAGUUUCUACUGGUUGGAACCGAUUGCCUCUUUUGACUGCGAUAACACGAAGGACUCACAGUUUGAUAUGCCGACUACAAGAAAGGUAUUUACAUUUCAUUGUUUUGACUCAACUGUUGAGGUUCCUUUUCCAAACCCGAAGGUUGACCGAGAGCUCAUUGACUUUUACUUGAAAUAUGGCCAACCUCAAUACUUGACAUGGAGUGCCCAGAAAAUUACAACUGUCAAGGUAUUGAAACCGACUCCCACCGGCAAGUUUGUGAAUGUAAAUUUCAAGAUCACAAGAGGGUCUGCAAACUCUGUUUCAAUGAUAUCCUUAGUAGAUCUUCCCAAUCUCAAUCCACAUGAUUAGAUAUUGCUAUACAACAUUCUGCUCUCCAAUUCUAAGGAGUAUGAGCCGAUUUUGGAGCACUUGAAAAGAAUGUUGGCCUCCUACAUCUAUGAAGUUGCAACAAUGGAUCAGGAGAUAGCAAGGGUGAUGAAUAAGAAGUCGACUGGCAAUCCUACUCAAAAGCCGGGAGAUGUGAACAAAAUGAAGAUCGGGCAUAUUGAUUCUAAGCAUCUGACUGUGAUGUUUACAAAGGGUGAAACUAACAAGUUCUUGUUCGCUUUGGUAGAUAAACAUCUGUUUUCUACUGACUGCUUGGAGCACAUUAUCAACCUGAUACAUCGGUGCAAGCAAAACUCGGAAGCUGAUAAGAAAAUUUUUACUGAUAUGCUUCGGUGGUACAUCACCAUUCGGUACCAUCUGUUAACUAUCAUACCAAGAGUGUUCAAGACGGUAAAGAAGCCCUCAGUUGCUAACUGGGUUGAAGUCUCGGUCCCAAAGACGCAAAGUGGGAGAUUGUUGGGGCUUAUUGUGUUGUGUCUUAGGGAUUUUGUAUAUAUCCGGAUUGGGUUUGUCCAUUUGUGAUUCUCUCUUAGGGUUAGACUAUAUAUAUGCAUGCAUGUAUGCGUUAUUAAAAAGAGAGUCUUUAAGUACAUUUGAGUUUUGUAACCCUAAUACACCUCUACAGUUAAAGUUCUUAAUCGAGCUCUUCUGAGGUUUGGAAGUAUUAAUCAUUCAACGUAUUCAAGCCAUAGUUGUGUUUACUUUACGUACUCAUUUGUUUGCAUGUUUAGAAUCAAUCGAUCCUGAAAGAACGACGUUCUAACAGGUUUCUUUUGAAAUAUCUCCCUCUUGGCGCAUUCUGCCAACC